rnacentral:rRNA from 1 species
AGUGAACGCUGGCGGUAGGCCUAACACAUGCAAGUCGAACGGCAGCACAGUAAGAGCUUGCUCUUACGGGUGGCGAGUGGCGGACGGGUGAGGAAUACAUCGGAAUCUACUUUUUCGUGGGGGAUAACGUAGGGAAACUUACGCUAAUACCGCAUACGACCUACGGGUGAAAGCAGGGGAUCUUCGGACCUUGCGCGAUUGAAUGAGCCGAUGUCGGAUUAGCUAGUUGGCGGGGUAAAGGCCCACCAAGGCGACGAUCCGUAGCUGGUCUGAGAGGAUGAGCCGCGAAACGGGAACGGAGACACGGUCCAGCCUCCUACGGGAGGCAGCAGUGGGGAAUAUUGGACAAUGGGCGGAAGCCUGAUCCAGCCAUACCGCGAGGGUGAAGAAGGCCUUCGGGUUGUAAAGCCCUUUUGUGGGGAAAGAAAAGCAGCAGGUUAAUACCCCGCUGUUCUGACGGUACCCAAAGAAUAAGCACCGGCUAACUUCGUG